rnacentral:rRNA from 1 species
UACGUAGGGUGCGAGCGUUAAUCGGAAUUACUGGGCGUAAAGCGUGCGCAGGCGGUUCUAUAAGACAGAUGUGAAAUCCCCGGGCUCAACCUGGGAACUGCAUUUGUGACUGUAGAGCUGGAGUACGGUAGAGGGGGAUGGAAUUCCGCGUGUAGCAGUGAAAUGCGUAGAUAUGCGGAGGAACACCGAUGGCGAAGUCAAUCCCCUGGACCUGUACUGACGCUCAUGCACGAAAGCGUGGGGAGCAAACAGG